rnacentral:rRNA from 1 species
UGGCGGACGGGUGAGUAAUGUCUGGGAAACUGCCCGAUGGAGGGGGAUAACUACUGGAAACGGUAGCUAAUACCGCAUAACGUCGCAAGACCAAGAGGGGGACCUUCGGGCCUCUUGCCAUCGGAUGUGCCCAGAUGGGAUUAGCUAGUAGGUGGGGUAAUGGCUCACCUAGGCGACGAUCCCUAGCUGGUCUGAGAGGAUGACCAGCCACACUGGAACUGAGACACGGUCCAG